GCCCAGCCCAGCCCAGCCUAAUAAGCUAACAACCCUAAAAUCAGGUGGAAGGAGGCCUUUGUGCUUGUGGGCUCGAUCGAUGCCCCCUCCUCCUGCUUUUCCCGGGGCGCCGCCGCUUCCCGACCCAACGUCCGGCGGGCGGCGGCGAGCGAUAGCUUCGCUGCGGACGCGCGCUACUCCAGGAGGAUCUGGGUCCGGUGGGCAUCGGCGGCGGCGAGCGGAACUUCAGCUCCGGCCAGAUCGACCGCGCCCUCGCCGCUGGCCUCCGUGAGACCAGGUAUGUUCGCGCCUUUAGGCCAUCCUCGGCCGGAGCUUCGGCUAGGGCAGAAUUUAGCCAGCAACGACUUUUGUUACCACAUCGCCAGUUCUCAGACCGUGAGCGAGCUCAGUUUAUCAACAGAAUUUAGCCACAAUAGUGAGCAUCGCCGGUUCUGGCUGAGAUCGUGAGACCAGUCUAUCAACGCGGCCCCAAUAGUGGCAGACGCGUUGGACAUUAGCGUUUAGCUUCUUUUUUUUUUUAACAAAAAAAGAAGAACAAAUUGUUAUUAGUUGUUCGACCUGGGUGGUUUGUCACCCUUACCUAGUUGUUGACUUAGGGGAGUGUGAGAUGAAAGACUGAGCAAUUUUGUGUUCUUUGUGUUGUGCGUACAAAUGAUUGAUCAUCCAUGCAUUUCGGUUGGAACAAAAACUCACUGUUUCCUCUACAGCUGUAGGAGAUGAUCACAUCCUAGUUAGGGCCAGAAGUUCCAAUCAAAACCAAUUGCAUGCUCGAGAGUUAAAGGAGUGGUGUUCUCCAACAAGAUCUUGUUGGCGUGUUACUUUGCUUAUGGUGAUGAUCUCAGUAAUCCGGAGCUGAGGAUGCAGUAUUAUAUAUUUAUGCAAUAAUAACAAUGAUCAUGGAGGUGAGUAUACUGUACAGCGAUUUAUAUUUUAUAAAAGAACUCCUUUUACUAGCUGUUUAGUUCUGGCCAGUUUCUUGUUUGUUUGUUAUGAGCAUUGGUUGUUAUUUCCUCCAGUCAAAAUUUUUUAUUGUUUACGACAAGAUUUGGUCAAACUUAUAAAAUUCUGACAAAUGAUUUUAUGUUAUAAGAAAUUUACAAAAUCUAAUAAGUUUAUGAUAUUAUGAUAGUACUCUUCGAGGAGAAUAUAUGUGUACAUUUAUCUUGUAUUUAAACUAAACAUUUAAGAAAUUAUCGAUGGUUGGAAUUUUCAAAGUUUGACCAAAUCUCGUCCUAAACGACAUAUUUUUGACCGGAGAGAGUACUUUUGAGCUCAGGCAAGGUUGAUGUAAUACAAUCUAGAAUGGCAAGAUAUUGAUUUAUGUUAGUCAUGUGUUCUUAUUGGAAGCAUUUGAGACCACAUCUGUUUCUCUAAAAAUGCAAAGGUCACCUUAAUAACUUUCUUCUAGAAUAUAUGCAAUUAGCAUGGUGACUUGCACAUAUUGCGUAGCAUCAUUAUAAAUAUUGUAUGUACACAUGGGUUCUUAUCUUGAUAUUAAUUAUUUUUAAAUUUUUAAUUCGAAUUUCAGAUUUUUCUAAAUUGUAUUGCUAUGAGGAACAUUACAUUAUUUUUCUUUAUUUUUUAAUUCUCAAUUUGUAUUUAUACUUGUAUCCUAAACUUGUACUUGUACAUAAACUCUUUUCUAUAUACUAUUUAUUUUUUAAUUCAAAUUUUAGAUACUUUUAAAUUGUAUUUGUACGCUGACUCUUUCUCUUAAAUUACUUAUUUUAAAGCUAAUUUUUAGAUAUUUCAAAAUUGUAUUUAUAGACAAACUCUUCAGUCAAUAUUAUUUUUUAAAUUUUCAAUCCAAAUUUUGUAUUUUCCUAAAUUGUAUUUACACAUGGACUAUUUUUUUAGUUUUCUUUAUUUUAAAUUCCUAAAUUGUAUUUCUAACUGGAUUCUAUUGUUUGUUUUUCGAUUAAUGUGAGAUUGUCUAGCCGGUGAGAACGAAUGUGGUGUCUCCUUUUCCUAUUACUUUAUAUAUAAAAUAGAUUCCUGAUGUGUUGUCGACAUGAUUUAUACCUAUUUUGACUGUAACACUUCAAAAAUGCCAUUAAAUAUCAUUUUUUUUAACAAUGCAGCAUUUUCUCAUGGCUUUUGUGGUAAUGCUGUGCCAGCCUUUACUUUUUAGCUCUACUGUUAUUUAUGUUUAAAGUAGAAGGGUAUAUACAUUAUGCUUUAGGUUUGUUCUUCCUGAAUUAGCAUGGCAGGUUGAGCUGCUUAUUAGUAAUGCUUUCUGUAGGUUAUCUUGGAGAUUGAUGAAACAAUAGUCAAAAGCCACCCCUAAUAAAACAAUAAAUAUUCUAAAUACUCGGUAGAAAUUAUCAGCAUAUUAAAAUGGUGACAAAGGUACACAUUAUUUCGUUCUCCUGCAAACAGUCGAUGUGGCCACUUGGAAAUGAAAUCUUGAGGGCGAUAGCCUUUAUCAUUGAUUUCUAUCAUUUUCUCUAAUUGUGGGGAAGGAGUAUAAAGGAGUGCGAUUAUUACAUAGUUAGCACCAUUGAUUUCUAUCAUUUUCUCUCAAUCAAAUGCCAGUUCUACUUUUUAAGACAUAUAUGAGCAUCUCGUACUACUAUGGCAAUGUCACUGUGCCAUUUGUGCACUAGUUACCUGCAUUACCAUUUUUCAUACCUGGCCCAUCCAUCCAUUCUGGUACUUGGCAUACUCAACUAAUCUCAUAGAAACGUUCAGAUUUCUCCUCUGCUUCCAGUGUGUAAUAGUGACUGUG
rnacentral:lncRNA from 1 species